UCUCCAUUAUCUCGGCCUCUUUGGCAUCGC
rnacentral:sRNA from 1 species